CGGAGGAAAAGAAACCAACAGGGAUUGCCUCAGUAACGGCGAGUGAAGCGGCAAAAGCUCAAAUUUGAAAUCCCCCGGGAAUUGUAAUUUGAAGAGAUUUGGGUCCGGCCGGCAGGGGUUAAGUCCACUGGAAAGUGGCGCCACAGAGGGUGACAGCCCCGUGAACCCCCUCAACGCCCUCAUCCCAGAUCUCCAAGAGUCAAGUUGUUUGGGAAUGCAGCUCUAAGUGGGUGGUAAAUUCCAUCUAAAGCUAAAUACCGGCGAGAGACCGAUAGCGAACAAGUACAGUGAUGGAAAGAUGAAAAGCACUUUGAAAAGAGAGUGAAAAAGUACGUGAAAUUGUUGAAAGGGAAGGGCUUGCAAGCAGACACUUAACUGGGCCAGCAUCGGGGCGGCGGGGAGCAAAACCACCGGGGAAUGUACCUUUCGAGGAUUAUAACCCCGGCCCUUACUCCCAUACUGCCCCGAGGCCUGCAAUCUAAGGAUGCUGGCGUAAUGGUUGCAAGUCGCCCGUCU
rnacentral:rRNA from 1 species